UAACAAAAUUAUUUGCCUGAGAACUACUGGCCACAGCUUAAAACUCAAAGGACUUGGCGGUACUUUACAUCCAUCUAGAGGAGCCUGUUCUAUAACCGAUAAACCCCGUUAUACCUUACCAUUCCUUGCUAAUUCAGCCUAUAUACCGCCAUCUUCAGCAAACA
rnacentral:rRNA from 1 species